CUCCAGUGGGCGUCUUGGGCCCCGGCUCUAUUCUGGGCUGCGGGCCUGGGAAGGGCUCGCCGGGUGCCAAAUGAGCUGUCCUAACUCUGCGGGGCUGCAGCUUCCUGCAUGAUGCUGGGGAGCUUGGCGCCUGACCCAGGAUCUAGAAGGCACUCUGGGCAGGCCGCGCUCCGCCCACGAAGGUUUAACCACCAAGGACUCUGAGAGCUGGCAGGUCUGAGUAACCCUGGUAACAAUUCUCUUCACCUUAUCAAAACCUGAGCUAAAACCAAUACAUCAGCUGAUGAUGACAGCAGAGAGUGGCAGGGCUGAGGACCCAAAGUCAUUUCCCAGGCUGGCGGAGAAUAAACUGCCAGGGAGAAGAAUGAGAAGACAGGAGACAAACUGUUUGGAAAGCUAAAUCUUCCCUCUUAAUGAAUAAAGGUUUUUGCCUUGUCUU
rnacentral:lncRNA from 1 species